GAUGAAGAACGUAGUGAAAUGCGAUACGUAAUGUGAAUUGCAGAAUUCAGUGAAUCAUCGAGUCUUUGAACGCACAUUGCGCCCCCUGGUAUUCCGGGGGGCAUGCCUGUCCGAGCGUCAUUGCUGCCCUCAAGCACGGCUUGUGUGUUGGGCCUCCGUCCUCCUCUCGGGGGACGGGCCCGAAAGGCAGCGGCGGCACCGCGUCCGGUCCUCGAGCGUAUGGGGCUUCGUCACCCGCUCUUGUAGGCCCGGCCGGCGCUUGCCGACACAUCAAUCUUUUUUCCAGGUUGACCUCGGAUCAGGUAGGGAUACCCGCUGAACUUAAGCAUAUCAAUAAGCGGAGGA
rnacentral:misc_RNA from 1 species